rnacentral:rRNA from 1 species
AUUGAACGCUGGCGGCAUGCCUUACACAUGCAAGUCGAACGGUAACGGGCCUUCGGGUGCCGACGAGUGGCGAACGGAUGAGUAAUACAUCGGAACGUGCCCGAUCGUGGGGGAUAACGAGGCGAAAGCUUUGCUAAUACCGCAUACGAUCUACGGAUGAAAGCCGGGGACCGCAAGGCCUUGCGCGGACGGAGCGGCCGAUGGCAGAUUAGGUAGUUGGUGGGAUAAAAGCUUACCAAGCCGACGAUCUGUAGCUGGUCUGAGAGGAUGAUCAGCCACACUGGGACUGAGACACGGCCCAGACUCCUACGGGAGGCAGCAGUGGGGAAUUUUGGACAAUGGGCGCAAGCCUGAUCCAGCCAUGCCGCGUGCAGGAUGAAGGCCUUCGGGUUGUAAACUGCUUUUGUACGGAACGAAAAGCCUUCUUUUAAUACAGGAGGGUCAUGACGGUACCGUAAGAAUAAGCACCGGCUAACUACGUG